UGUUAUUUUUUGACAUCUUAGUUUCUAUGUUUCUGCCUUGUUCCCCCCUGACUUUUGAUAACAAGCUACAGUAGUUCCUUGACCAUAAAUUUUGAUUAAACCUGAUCCAAAUUCAUCAUCAGAAUCGUACUCAAGCCAAGAAGAGGGUAGUUGGUGAAUAGCCCACCCUGACGACACAAAACAAGAAGUCUAAGAACAUUAUGAGACGAUUGUGUCAAGGAAAUCCUAGAAGACUACAGGAAGAUUCCACCCAAACACAAAUGCAGAGAUCCCAAAGAUGACAACGACAUUGACUGGACAAAUUUCAUAUAGUUGCAUCUUGUGCAGAAAAUACUGCCACUCAAGAGAAAUUGAAUUACUUCUUAAAGGUCCUUCAACUCAAGAUCGUAAAGGAAAGCAAAUUGGGAAAUUGCAGCAUCCCUCAGUCCCUAAAAAAAAAAGAAACUUUCCUAGAGCUAUGAAACACUCAUAACUUUGUAUUGGCCUGGUGCCAUGACCUACUGCAAAAGCUUUACAAGAGCUCACUCAAACAUAGCGCUCAUUACUACAAGCAACAUGUACCACAGAUACUAAUUCCGUCACCGUCACUUAAUCUUCGUUCCAUCUCACAUACACUACCCGAACACGACAUGAAUCAAACAGAAACACAGUAACAUAGUCUCCCUACCUGACAAGUUAAGCGAUAAAAGUCUUCCCGCUCAGGAAAGCACCACAAACUUACGACAGGCAAUAGCGUGACAAUCACUGACUAACCGACCCAAUUCAUCAAGCAAUUCCACAGAUUUUCAUUGCCCGGAAACCAAAAAUACUACGUACAAAAAUUAUUACAAUUUUGUUUUUAAUCUAUUUGUUUUCCCUUUUAAAGUUUCAGUCCGUUUGAUUUUUAAAGACACAGAUUUUGGCCGUCUUCCUUCAAUGAGCUAUUGCGUAGCCCUAAUAAAAACAUUGUAACUUUCUUUUUUUAUACGUUUCUCUUGUUUCCCAGGUCAAUCGUGGGAAGACAAAGUGGAUGCAGUGCGAAAUGAGAGGAUGGCACAAAAGCUGGAUGCCGUUGUAUUGACGGCCCUGAACGAGAUCGCUUGGCUGUUGAACCUGAGGGGUGGCGACGUGCCCUACAGCCCUCUGGUAGAAGGUUACGUAUAUUUAUCGCUGGAUCGCAUUGUGCUCUUUAUCCAACCGACGAAAACGAUGGAACUGAUCCGGGAACACUUGAACAGCGACAACUGUCAAGAGGAAACUAUUUGUGUCGAAGUGAGACAUUACGAAAACGUCUUCAACGACUUGCCCGUUUCAACGAAGAAUGUCGACUCUGUCCUGCUGCCCUCUAACUACGCCUACAGUGAAGGAGUCAGUUUUGCCAUUUACGAGACGGCUUGCUUGCCGAUAUAGAUUCCUGCAGUCAAGAGACAGACAUCGCCUUCACCAUUGAUUUUAUUGAAAGAGACGAAAAAGGCCAUCGAAGUGGAAGGAAUGAAAAACGCCCACAUGAAAGAUGCAGUGGCCCUAUCCGAUUUUCUCUCUCUUCUCCAAGAACAGAUUCAUGAAGGCAAAGUGCAAUGGGAUGAGUUGAAAGUCGUCCACACGUUGGACGAGUAUCGCCAACAGCAGGACCUGAACCGAGGACCAUCUUUCAGCACGAUCGCUGCAUUCGGACCAAAUGGCGCACUUAUCCAUUACAAGCCGUCGUUGGAAACCAAUCGAAUUAUUGACAAUUCCUCGUUUUUGAUAAUCGACUCUGGUGGCCAGUAUCUUGACGAGACGACGGAUGUGACCAGUACAUUCCAUUUUGGUCUUGCAACUCAGCGUCAGAAAGAGAUUUACACUCGUGUUUUAAUGGGAGCUAUCGACCUGGCUGCACUGGUUUUCUCCGACUCAAUCGCGGACAGCCACGUCGAUAUCAUCGCCCGUCAAAACCUCUACCAGGUCGAACUGGACUACCAUCACGAAACCGGCCAUGGCAUUGGCUCCUUUCUCAACGUUCACGAAAGUAUACAACGACUGACCAAAUGGAAAUGUUGCUUGGUUGUUUUGACGCGCUUAUUACGCCGGUCCCAUUCAAGUGAAUAUCAACAGCAAAGAACCUCACCGUUUCCGCGCCAACUAUUUCUUUUCUGACGAACCAAGUUAUUACUUGCCCAAUGAGUACGGCAUCCGAUUGGAAACGAUCCUUCGUGUCGUCGACGUAAAAAUGACGGUACAUUCAGCACGUAUUGCAGUCCAUUGAAACGUGUUGUUUAACCAACUGUUGGUCUUUUGUUGGACGUUCUUUUCUCUCUACUUUUGGAGGCUGGGUCACUGAUGGAUGACAAACAAUGGCAACAACAUUCCACUGAAAAAUAGCAGCAGCAUCCACAGGACGAGUCUCACUACACAGGCGGAUGCUGACCCUGGCUCGUCUCCAAAAAUCGUCCGGUAACCCCUUCACCAUAACGGACUCCUAGAAACAACCCGCCCAGACCAUCUUUUAACAGGCAACAAUUAAUUUCUAAGGCCGUCACAGUUUAUCAUUUUUUUUUAUGUACUCUAACUGAAUUUCGUACUUUAAUUCCUGUUAUUCAACGCACUUUUAUACGUCUGAAUUGUUUAUAUCUAGCAAAGUACAGCAGCUGAUUAAGCAUUUCCAUGCCUGGCCGAGGUAAUGGGGGAAGAAGGGAAUAUAAGGGCCUUUUAAACGA